AUUUGUAUUUUUAGUGGAGACAGGGUUUUACCAUGUUGGCCAGGAUGGUCUUAAUCUCUUGACCUAGUGAUCCGCCUGCCUUGGCCUCCCAAAGUGCUGGGAUUACAGACAUCAGCCACCAUGCCCAGUGAGUCUGAGGUGUUGUAGCUGCCAGCCUCUGAUGGCUUCUUCAUAUUUGUGUUCUCAUAUGGUCCCCUCCCACACAUAUCAGGAUUGGUUUGUGUGGCCAAUAAAUACAACAGAAGUGAUGACAUGUCACUUCUGAGGGUAGCUAGGGUGGCUUCCUCCUCACCCUGUCUUGGAUUGCUCACUCUGGAGGAUGCGGGAGCUCUUCUGUGGGGAGGUCUGUGUGACAAGGGACUGAGGCCUCUCGCCAAUAACCUAUGAGGUUGUAAGACUUCCAGGCAGUAGGUGUGGAAAUGAGCAAGAUUGGAAGCAGAUCCUCCAGCCCCAGUCAAGCCUUCAGAUGACUAUGGCCCAGGUCAAUAUGUUCAUUGCAGUUUCCCAAGACACUCUGAGCCCAAACCACCCAGGUAGGUCUCUCCCAAACUCCUGACUCUCAGGAUAGUUUUUUUUUCUUUUUUUCUUUCUUUCUUUCUUUUUUUUUGGGGGGGGGGGACAGAGUCUUGUUCUGUCACCCAGGCUGGAAUGCAGUGGUAUAGUCUCGGCUCACUGCAACCUCCACCUCCUGGGUUCAAGUGAUUCUCCUAUCCAGCCUCCUGAACAGCUGAGAUUACAGGCGCCUACCAACACACCUGGCUAACUUUUUGUGUUUUUCGUAGAAACAGUGUUUUCAUCAGGUUGGCCAGGCUGGUGUCGAACUCCUGACCUCAAGUGAUGUGCCUGCCUCAGUCUCCCAAAGUGCUGGGAUUACAGGCGUGAGCCACUGUGCCAAGUGUUUAUUUUCAUAAGCCACUAGAUUUGGGGGAUAAUUUGUUGUGCAGUAAUAAAUCAUGAAUACAAAUGUCUUGGGAAACUUAAAAUUGAGCCUAGGGUUCUGGAGCAUGGAGGAGAGGUGUGCGCUGCAGACAGGGGAGGUGGCACUGGUUAAUAUCAUGCCCAUGGAAGAGAGUCCUUGAGGGGAGCAGUAGAAGGAGAGUGGGAGAAGGCAGUCAAGGACAGAAUUCUGGGAAAUAAAGCAUUUAAAGGACAGAUACAGCAAGGGGAGCCGAUGAAGGAGGAAUGAAAAUUAGGAGACAGCUAGAUGUGGUGGGACAGGUCUGUACUCCCAGCUUCUCAGGAGACCGAGGCAGGAGGAGCACUUGAGCCUAGGGGUUCAAGGCUGCAGUGAGCUCUGAUCAUGCUACCACACCACAGCCUGGGUGACAGAAAGAGACCCUGUCUCCAAAAAAGAAAAAGAGGAAAAUCAGGAGGGAGUAAAUGAAGAGUUUCAAAAAAGAGGUGUCGCUGGGCAUGGUGGCUGAUGCCUGUAAUGCCAGCACUUUGGAAGGCCGAGGUGGGCAGAUCAUGAGGUCAGGAGAUUGAGAUCAUCCUGGCCAACAUGGCGAAAUCCCGUCUCUACUAAAAUACAAAGAAGUUAGCCAGGUGUGGUGGUACGUACCUGUAGUACAAGCUACUCAGGAGGCUGAGGCAGGAGAAUCACUUGAACCCAAGAAGCAGAGGUUGCAGUGAGUGGAGAUUUCCCCACUGCACUCCACCCUGGUGACAGAAUGAGACUCUCUCAAAAACAAAAACAAAAAAGAGAGCCGGGCGUGGUGGCUCAUGCCUGUAAUCCCAGCACUUCGGGAGGCCGAGGCGGGUGGAUCACAAGGUCAAGAGAUUAAUUAAGACCAUCCUGGCCAACAUGGUGAAACCCUGUCUCUACUAAAAAUACAAAAAAUUAGCUGGGCACGGUGGCGCGUGCCUGUAAUCCCAGCUACUCGGGAGGCUGAGGCAGGAGAAUUGCCCGAACCCGGGAGGCGGAGGUUGCGGUGAGCCGAGAUCGUGCCAUUGCACUCCAGCCUGGGUAAAAAGAGCGAAACUCCGUCUCAAAAAAAAAAAAAAAGAGUACAGAAGUAACUGAGGUAAGGGACUAGAGUUAGUGUAGACAGCUCUUUGAAGAAGCUUGGCUAGGAAAGGAAAGAGACGGAUAAGUGGAGGGGAAUUUGGAAUACAAGAAAGGCUUGUUUGUUUGUUGGUUUUUGUUUGUUUUGGUAUUUUUAGUAGAGCCAGAAUUUCACUGUGUUAGCCAGGAUGGUCUUGACCUCUGACCUCGUGAUCCACCCACCUUGCCCUUCCAAAGUUCAGGGAUUACAGGUGUGAGCCACCACGCUCGGCCUAAAUAUAUAUAUAUUUAAAAAGACAAACCUUAGGACAGUCUGCCUGUCUAGGCAGGAGAAUCGCUUGAAUCCAGGAGGCGGAGGUUGCAGUGAACUGAGAUCACGCCAUUGUACUCCAGCCUUGGUGACAGAGUAAGACUCUCUCAAAAAAAGCAAAAACUACUACAUAUAUAUAUAUAAUGACUCUUUUCCAGAUUUUAUUUUCAUUGAUUUUCUCUCUUGAUUUCCUGGGUUUUGUUCUGUUUUUUAGCGUUGGGAAUCUCACUAUGUCACCCGGGCUGGAUUCAAAUCCCUAGACUCAAGUGAUCCUCCUGCCUUAGCCACCCAAAUGGCUGAGACGACCAGCACGCCACUGUGUGUUUUGUUUUUAAAGUUAAAGAUGCAGGAGAGAGAUGAGUAAAACGGAUUGAGGGACUUUUGAAAGAGGAAGAAAUUGGGGUUCAGGUUAGCCUUUGGCCAAAAGGGUGACAUUUCCCAGCAGAGAGAAGAAUGGGGGUGAUGAUGCGGAAAAUGCGAUGCUUUUUUGGGGGUUGGGGUGGGAAAGGCAGAAGAUGCGAGAAAUAAGGGAGCUCCUUUCUGGAGGCAUCUGCUUUUCCUGAGAAAUAGGAAACUCAGAGGGGAGAAGGGUUUGGGGGCCAGAGAGGGGCAAGUGCUUGAAAUAGCUGUUGUCAGGAGCGGGUGCAGCUACAAAGAGCCUCGAGGAAGGCUAUACUUGGUGGUGAUGGCCCAGCUGAGCUGGGGGACUACUGGGGCACCAACUGUAUUAGGGUUCUCCAGAGAAACAGAGCCAACAGGGUGUGUGUGUGUGCGUGUGUGUGUGUAUAUAUAUAUAUAUAUAUAUAUAUAUAUGGAGAGAGAGAGAGAGAGAUUUUAAGGAAUUAGCUCACAUGAUUGUGGAGGCUUGGCAAGUCCAAAACUGUGAUGGAGAGGGCACAGGCCAGAGACAGAGACUCUGGAAAGAGUUACAGUUCAAGUCCAAAGGCAGUCUGCUGGCAAAAUUCCUUGUUUUGGCCGGGUGUGGCAGCUCACGCCUGUAAUCCCAGCACUUUGGGAGGCCAAGGCAGGCGGAUCACCUGAGGUCAGGAGUUUAAGACCAGCUAUGGAUGGCCAAUGUGGCAAAAACCUACCUCUACUAAAAAUACAAAAAUCAGCUGGGUGUAGCGGCAUGCGCCUGUAAUCCCAGCUACUUGCAAGGCUGAGACACAAGAAUCAUGUGAACCCCGGAGGCAGAGGUUGCAGUGAACUGAGAUUGGGCCACUCCAGCAUGGGUGACAGAGAGCGAAGACUCCGUCUCAGAAAAAAAAAAAAAAUUCCUGGCAGGGCAUCGUGGCUCAUGCCUGUAAUUCUAGCACUUUGGGAGGCUGAGGCAGGUGGAUCACAAGGUCAGGAAUUAGAGACCAUCCUGGCCAAUGUGGUGAAGCCCUAUCUCUACAAAAAAUACAAAAAAAAUUAGCUGGGCAUGGCGGUGGGCAUAUGUAGUCCCAGCUACUCAGGAGGCUGAGGCAGGAGAACAGCUCGAACCCAGGAAGUGGAGGUUGCAGUGAGCUGAGAUUGCACCAUUGCACUCCAGCCUAGUGACAGAGUGAGACUCCCUUUCAAAAAUUAAAAAAUAAAUUAAGAAAUUAAGAAAAUUUCGGAGUGGAACUCCAGCCCCCACCACCAGCCCCUCUGUCUCCCCCACCCCCAGCCCUAACUGCCCCCUAACCUCCUGGGGAUCACCUCAUGAGCCGCCUGUUCUAUGGGGUGAAGGCAGGGCCAGGGGUGGGGGCCCCCCGCCGUAGUGGACACACCUUCACCGUCAACCCCCGGCGGUCUGUGCCCCCUACGACUCCCCCAGCCACCCCAGCCUCUCCAGCCACAGCUGAUGCUGUAGCCCCGGGGGCUGGGAAGAAGCGGUACCCAACUGCCGAGGAGAUCUUGGUUCUGGAGGGCUACCUCCAUCUCAGCUGCAGCUGCCUUGCUAAGGGGUCCCCCGAAAGACACCACAAACAGCUUAAGAUCUCCUUCAGCGAGACAGCCCUGAAGACCCCUCCGAGAGUUCAGUACUAGAGGAGCUGGGCUCGGAGCCUGAGGUCCCCAGUUCCCCCAACCCCCCAGCAGCCCAACCCAACGAGGAAGAGGAUGAGGAAGAGCUGCUGCUGCUGCAGCCAGAGCUCCAGGGUGGGCUUCGCACCAAGGCCCUGAUUGUGGAUGAGUCCUGCUGGCGGUGACCAUCUUCCAUUAUAGGAAUAUACGUCUCUCCUUCGUAUAACUGAAGAUCCUGGAGCCUGGAAGAUUCAGGGCAGACAGACCCUAAUAAUGAGCCUGGCAGGGAAGGGCAACCACCAUCUUCUGACUUGCUUUCCCCACCCUGUUUCUGGGGGCAGAGCCAAUUGCCCAGUUUCUACCCUAAUCCAAAGUCCCUAGUGUGAGUGGGGUUAAAAGUGCUGGUGCAUCCUAGGUGAUCCAAGAGUGAGCACCAAGUUCUGAGAAGGAGCACAGAACUCCCGGAGGGUGGAGAUGGAGUGCACCUGACCCCUGUGGCAGGGUACGCUCUUCCCAUCGCCUUCCUCCCCACCAUCCCAUGGGGGAUCUUAGGAUUUAAGCACUCAUUUCUCUGGGAGGCCCAGACCCCAUUCCAUUUAUAGGCACAUCUCCUUUAUUUCCUAGGUCACUGCCCCUUUAUUUACAGCUCCUGCGUCCUCUCUUGACCACAGCCUGGUUUACAAAUUCCACCAGCUCCCAGCUCCACCUGCCAAAGUCCCAGGUUUACAAGCCACGCUUACUUGCUGUGUCUGUGUGGAAUUCUCUCCUCUGUCCCCUCCUGUCUCCUCAUUGGAGUGACCUGAAGGUGCGGCUUCCUCCACUUUUUCUCAGUAUUACUUUGUCUCAGUUUUCCUCAAGAGGGAAGGCUGGAAAUCUUAACUCUGUACCCUCGAUAGUUAUUUAAUUCUGUUUCUCCUAGUGGUUCAGAAUCGAACUGAAUUGAGAUGGUGUGGGGUGGCAAAGGAAACACCUCACCUCUCCUCUCCUGUUGUGCCACCUUUAGCAGUUG